rnacentral:rRNA from 1 species
AUUCGUAGGGGGCGAGCGUUGUCCGGACUGAUUGGGCGUAAAGGGCGCGUAGGCGGCCUGUUAAGUCUGGAGUGAAAGUCCUGUUUUCAGGAUGGGAAUUGCUUUGGAUACUGAUGGGCUUGAGUGCAGGAGAGGUUAUCGGAAUUCACGGUGUAGCGGUGAAAUGCGUAGAGAUCGGGAGGAACACCAGUGGCGAAGGCGGGUAACUGGACUGCAACUGACGCUGAGGCGCGAAAGUGUGGGGAGCAAACAGGAUUAGAUACCCUGGUAGUCCACACUGUAAACGGUGAAUGCUAGGUGUAAGAGGUAUCGACCCCUUGUGUGCCUGAGUUAACACAAUAAGCAUUCCGCCUGGGGAGUACGGCCGCAAGGUUGAAACUCAAAUGAAUUGGCGGGG